rnacentral:antisense_RNA from 1 species
GAAAUGCCAAUUUCAACUCAGCAUCUGCCGACAGGUCUACCUAAUCUUCCAAACUCUGUGUAAAUCCUGGAUCCACCAUUUACCAGCUGUGUAACCCUGGACAACAAUUCCAUCUUUCUGACCUCAGUGUCUUUCUCUGCAAAACAGGGGUAAGAAUAAUCCUACUUCAAUAGAGCUGCUGUGAGGAUUCACUGAGAUAAUGUGUACAAAGUUCCUACAAUAGUACUGAACCCACAGCCAUGGAUUCAAGACCACUAACUUAUAAUCAGUGAUAUCCAAGAGGAUGGGAAGAGAAUAUUAAGCCUGGUGCUCUGCAAAUUAAUACUUGGAGGUAAAUGAGAAGUAUCAUAGGCAUAUUACGAUUUACUUAACAUUUCAUUCUAUUUGAAAGAGAAAUUCCCAAAUGUUAAAUACUACCCUACAUUUUAAGCUUAAAAAUACGCUGGACAUGUGACAAUGGUGCUGAGUACUUUGGGGGAAGAUCACAACAGUCCUGGUAGCAGUGUUACAGCAAAAUAUUUCAGAGGUACCAGAUGAGCUAGCUCCAAGGCAAAUGAGGCAAUAUUAUGUUUAACUGUUUGUUCGGAAACUUCUUUUAUUAAAAAAGAUUUUAAAUAUUAA